GGCAAGGUGGCCGAGUGGUUAUGGCGCAUGGCUCAGGUCCAUGUCUCGAAAGGGGCGUGGGUUCGAAUCCCACCCUUGUCA